CGGGGACCGGGGGCUUGAUGCUGCUUGGGCCUGGCCCAGUGGCGGGUCCUAGGGACGUGGGUACCUGCAGAGGCCGGCAGAUGGAGAUUCAGAAACAUAAGGACAACAAGAAACUUCCCCAAGGUAUCAUUAUAGUCUUUAGACUUCAGACACACACCACACCUCAAAUAUAUACACAACUGAAAGGAAAAUUAAGGAAGUUUUUCAAAGAACCCUAUUCCGAGUAAGAAAUGUGUUGCAUGAAUUUCUAAGAGCCAGAAAAUGCAUGACACAGGAGAAGAUGCACCCUCAUCUGUUCAGUGAGAGAUGUGCAAAUCAACAUCAACACAGAACUGCUGAAGAAAAAAAAUGUGUGUGUAUUAUAUAUAUAUGUAUAAGUGUAUAUAUAUAUAUAUAUAUAUAUAUAUAUAUUUACAUAUAUAGUAUGGGCUAUUUCACCUUUGCAAGCUGGGAGCCAUUAAGUAAUGGCUCCCACCACUCCCCCACCCCCUUCAGUAAAACACAUCCUGAACAUUGGGCCCAUGUUUUCAAGAAGAAUGUGCCCCACUGCCCCUUGGAAACUCCAUUUCAUUUGCUUGGUUCAGUUAGUUAAUGACGGUCCAUUUUGACUCAAAUAUCCAGUUCCCUUUCAUCAAUCAUGUCUUUCUGGACUGUCAGUUUUAGGGCAUGGAUUACAAAGCCCUUCCAUGCAGAUAUCCACAGAGAAAGACCCAGACCCACAUCC
rnacentral:antisense_RNA from 1 species